UAACAGGCUUAUCUCCCCCAAGAGUCCACAUCGACGGGGAGGUUUGGCACCUCGAUGUCGGCUCAUCACAUCCUGGGGCUGUAGUAGGUCCCAAGGGUUGGGCUGUUCGCCCAUUAAAGUGGUACGCGAGCUGGGUUCAGAACGUCGUGAGACAGUUCGGUCCCUAUCCGUCGCAGGCGUAGGAAAUUUGAGAAGACCUGUCCUUAGUACGAGAGGACCGGGAUGGACGUACCUCUGGUGUACCAGUUGUUCUGCCAAGGGCAUGGCUGGGUAGCUAUGUACGGAAUGGAUAAGCGCUGAAAGCAUCUAAGCGCGAAGCCAACUUCAAGAUAAGAUUUCCCACCGCAAGGGUAAGACCCCAGAAAGACUAUCUGGUUGAUAGGUCGAAGGUGUAAGUGCAGCAAUGUAUUUAGCUUAUCGAUACUAAUAGGUCGAGGACUUGACCAAU
rnacentral:rRNA from 1 species